GACGCUGGCGGCGUGCCUACACAUGCAGUCGAGCGCGAUUAGUUGGAUUGGAGACUUCAGUCAUUAGAAUACUAUGAGAGCGGCGGACGGGUGAGUAACCCGUGAACUACCUGCCCUGUACAGGGGGAUAACCACUGGAAACGGUGAUUAAUACCCCCUAACCCCAAAGGAUCCCCUGGUCCCAUGGGCAAGCCUUGGCGGUUUGGAUGGGCUCGCGUCUGAUUAACUAAUUGGUGAAGUAAUGGCUCCCCGAGGCAUCGAUUAGUAACCGACCUGGUAAGGUGACCGGCCACACUGGAAAUGACACCCCGACCACACUCCUACGGGAGGCAGCAGUGGCGACU
rnacentral:rRNA from 1 species